UACGAGGGGGGCAAAUGUUGUUCGGAAUCACUGGGCGUAAAGGGAGCGUAGGCGGGUUUCUAAGUCAGGUGUUUAAUCCCGGGGCCCAACCCCGGACAGGCACUUGAAACUGGGAAUCUUGAAUAGUGGAGAGGUCAGUGGAAUUGGGGGUGUAGCGGUGGAAUGCGUAGAGAUCCGGAAGAACACCGGUGGCGAAGGCGGCCUGCUGGGCAGUUUGCUGACACUGAGGCGCGACAGCGUGGGGAGCAAACAGG
rnacentral:rRNA from 1 species